CCCUAUGGGGCGCAGCAGUAGGGAAUCUUCCACAAUGGGCGAAAGCCUGAUGGAGCAACGCCGCGUGAGUGAGGAAGUAUUUCGGUAUGUAAAGCUCUAUCAGCAGGGAAGAAAAUGACGGUACCUGACUAAGAAGCCCCGGCUAACUACGUGCCAGCAGCCGCGGUAAUACGUAGGGGGCAAGCGUUAUCCGGAUUUACUGGGUGUAAAGGGAGCGUAGACGGAGGAGCAAGUCUGAUGUGAAAAUCCGGGGCCCAACCCCGGAACUGCAUUGGAAACUGUUUAUCUAGAGUGUCGGAGAGGCA
rnacentral:rRNA from 1 species